UUGUAAUGAAAAAAAAUUUUUAGGAAGCCCUAGACCCACUACAGCAUCUCACAGCGGCUCACAACACAAAAGUGGCCCAAUGAGGGGUCGACCCACCACCAACUUUUUUUUUUCACGGAUCGAUUGGCCUUAAAUCGUUUCUCCAUCAUCUGUGGGCGCAUCCGUGGUUUUUUAUUUGAGAUAGAAAAUUUUCAAUUGUGUUUGUAAUUAUUAUUUAAUUUUGAGCUGCAUAUUUCUCCGUGUACAGAAAAAAAUUUGUAACUUUUCGCUAUAAAUUUGAAAAUUUUCAAAAAGAAGGUAAGACGUCAUUGUUUUAGGUUCGAUUUCCGGAAAUCGAGUUAUUACCAGAUGUUUACGUUUUAAGUUUUUCGGAAGAGCUCAAAAUUUAUCGAUAGUAAUCUUUUCGGAUUCCUUUAGAUCUUAAUCAUUUCCUGUGCGUCAACACGUCGUAGUGGGGGUUUAUAUUGAAAGGAAUUAGUUUUUCAGUAUAUAAUUGCUGUACAUAUACAGAUAAUCCCUAUACCAAAAUACUUCAAACUUUCUCCCUCAAUAGUCUUCGUACUCUAAUGCAGUCGGUUCGCUAUCAUUUCAAUUUCAAUUGUCGUACGGACUUCAUGCUGACGUUGUCUGUUUCCUUCGUUUAACGUUAAAAUUUUGUGGCUAUAAGAUUGACAAUUGUUUUAUAUUAACAUAUUAAUAGUUAAUAUCAAGUUCGUUUGAGUUUUUUAUAUUCUUCGUUAAACAAAUCAAAGAUGGAAAUGAUAUGCGAGUGCGUGGAAUCAUUUUGUUUUGCGAAGCACCCCAAGCAAAUGAAAAAUCUAAAGUAUACAUGCAAGUUGACCAUCAAAGGGCUUAAUGCGGCUAAAAAACUUUUUCACAAGAUCGAAAAAAUAAAACUAAAAAUUUACCUCGGGGAAGGAAAUCUGGAGAAGUUGAAUACAAAAUUGGAGAAAUGCCAGGCAUCUAAAAGGAAGUAUGACGUAUUUUUGUGGAAGAUGAACUAUUAUUUUGAUGAGUGUACUUGGGGAUCCGAAAAGCUCGAAACGUUGGAUAUUGCUCUCGAUUACUGGAUGUGGAGAAUGUACCACGAGCACUGUAUCAGCGACUUAACAGGACUCAGCCCAGGGGAUAUAGACAUCAGACCCAGGUCGAUAAGACGAUUUUUUGCUUCUUCAAGAGUGUAUCGUUGAUUAAUUUAAGUGUUCACAAGCGGCACAAAGAAAAUUGUUUAGUGAUAACAAAGUGACGCCUUGAAUUUAACGAAAAGUAAAAAAUUUCUUAUUGUGCAGCUUGGAUAUUAAUUGUAAUGUAUUUUUCAGUGUUUUAAUACUAUUUUUGUAAACUAUAUAUUUAAGAUGACAAUAGCAAAAUAUUCUUUUUUAAUGUUUUUUUGUUAAUAAUAAAAAAUUUACAAGGCUAAAUUAA